GAUGAACGCUAGCGGCAGGCUUAAUACAUGCAAGUCGAGGGACAGCACAGGUAGCAAUACUGGGUGGUAACCGGCAAACGGGUGCGGAACACGUACACAACCUUCCUUUAAGUGGGGGAUAGCCCAGAGAAAUUUGGAUUAAUACCCCGUAAUAUAGUUGAGUGGCAUCAUUUGAUUAUUAUAGCUACGGCGCUUAAUGAUGGGUGCGCGGCUGAUUAGAUAGUUGGCGGGAUAACGGCCCACCAAGUCUACGACCAGUAGCUGAUGUGAGAGCAUGAUCAGCCACACGGGCACUGAGACACGGGCCCGACUCCUACGGGAGGCAGCAGUAAGGAAUAUUGGUCAAUGGACGCAAGUCUGAACCGGCCAUGCCGCGUGAAGGAUUAAGGUCCUCUGGAUUGUAAACUUCUUUUAUUUGGGACGAAAAAGGGCCUUUCUAGGUCAACUGACGGUACCAGAUGAAUAAGCACCGGCUAACUCCGUGCCAGCCGCCGCAGUAAGAC
rnacentral:rRNA from 1 species